CCCGCCCGUACCCCAAACCGACACAGGUGGUCAGGUAGAGAAUACUAAGGCGAUCGAGAUAACUAUGGUUAAGGAACUCGGCAAAAUGCCCCCGUAACUUCGGGAGAAGGGGGGCCCGUUCUGGUGAGGAGAUUUACUCUCCGAGCUGGGAUUGGCCGCAGAGACCAGGCCCAAGCGACUGUUUACUAAAAACACAGGUCCAUGCUAAGUCGCAAGACGCUGUAUAUGGACUGACGCCUGCCCGGUGCUGGAACGUUAAGGGGACGGGUUAGCGACUUCGGUCGCGAAGCUCAGAACUUAAGCGCCAGUAAACGGCGGUGGUAACUAUAACCAUCCUAAGGUAGCGAAAUUCCUUGUCGGGUAAGUUCCGACCUGCACGAAUGGCGUAACGACUUGGGCGCUGUCUCAACCGUAGACUCGGCGAAAUUGCACUACGAGUAAAGAUGCUCGUUACGCGCGGCAGGACGGAAAGACCCCGGGACCUUUACUACAGCUUGGUAUUGGUGGUCGAUUCGAUUUGUGUAGGAUAGGUGGGAGACUGUGAACUUCGGACGCCAGUUCGAAGGGAGUCAUCGUUGAAAUACCACUCUGAUCGUAUUGGCUGUCUAACCUAGAUCCGUAAUCCGGAUCAGGGACAGUGCCUGGUGGGUAGUUUAACUGGGGCGGUUGCCUCCUAAAAUGUAACGGAGGCGCUCAAAGGUUCCCUCAGCCUGGUUGGCAAUCAGGUAUCGAGUGUAAGUGCACAAGGGAGCUUGACUGUGAGACUGACGGGUCGAGCAGGGACGAAAGUCGGAACCAGUGAUCCGGCGCUGGCAAGUGGAAGCGGCGUCGCUCAACGGAUAAAAGGUACCCCGGGGAUAACAGGCUGAUCUUGCCCAAGAGUCCAUAUCGACGGCAUGGUUUGGCACCUCGAUGUCGGCUCGUCGCAUCCUGGGGCUGGAGUAGGUCCCAAGGGUUGGGCUGUUCGCCCAUUAAAGCGGCACGCGAGCUGGGUUUAGAACGUCGUGAGACAGUUCGGUCCCUAUCCGCCGCGCGCGUAAGAGUCUUGAGAAGAUCUGUCCCUAGUACGAGAGGACCGGGAUGGACGAACCUCUGGUGUGUCAGUUGUCCUGCCAAGGGCACUGCUGAUUAGCUACGUUCGGAAGAGAUAACCGCUGAAGGCAUCUAAGCGGGAAACUCGCUUCAAGAUGAGGGCUCUCACAGGGUUAACCUGGUAAGGCCCCCAGUAGACCACUGGGUUGAUAGGCCGGAAGUGGAAGUGCGGUAACGCAUGCAGCUGACCGGUACUAAUAGGCCGAGGACUUGACCUA
rnacentral:rRNA from 1 species